UUAAGCGACUAAGCGUACACGGUGGAUGCCCUGGCAGUCAGAGGCGAUGAAGGACGUGCUAAUCUGCGAAAAGCGUCGGUAAGGUGAUAUGAACCGUUAUAACCGGCGAUGUCCGAAUGGGGAAACCCAGUGUGUUUCGACACACUAUCAUUAACUGAAUCCAUAGGUUAAUGAGGCGAACCGGGGGAACUGAAACAUCUAAGUACCCCGAGGAAAAGAAAUCAACCGAGAUUCCCCCAGUAGCGGCGAGCGAACGGGGAGGAGCCCAGAGCCUGAAUCAGUGUGUGUGUUAGUGGAAGCGUCUGGAAAGGCGUGCGAUACAGGGUGACAGCCCCGUACACAAAAAUGCACAUGCUGUGAGCUCGAAGAGUAGGGCGGGACACGUGGUAUCCUGUCUGAAUAUGGGGGGACCAUCCUCCAAGGCUAAAUACUCCUGACUGACCGAUAGUGAACCAGUACCGUGAGGGAAAGGCGAAAAGAACCCCGGCGAGGGGAGUGAAAAAGAACCUGAAACCGUGUACGUACAAGCAGUGGGAGCCCUGAUUUAUCAGGGUGACUGCGUACCUUUUGUAUAAUGGGUCAGCGACUUAUAUUCUGUAGCAAGGUUAACCGAAUAGGGGAGCCGGAGGGAAACCGAGUCUUAACUGGGCGUUAAGUUGCAGGGUAUAGACCCGAAACCCGGUGAUCUAGCCAUGGGCAGGUUGAAGGUUGGGUAACACUAACUGGAGGACCGAACCGACUAAUGUUGAAAAAUUAGCGGAUGACUUGUGGCUGGGGGUGAAAGGCCAAUCAAACCGGGAGAUAGCUGGUUCUCCCCGAAAGCUAUUUAGGUAGCGCCUCGUGAAUUCAUCUCCGGGGGUAGAGCACUGUUUCGGCAAGGGGGUCAUCCCGACUUACCAACCCGAUGCAAACUGCGAAUACCGGAGAAUGUUAUCACGGGAGACACACGGCGGGUGCUAACGUCCGUCGUGAAGAGGGAAACAACCCAGACCGCCAGCUAAGGUCCCAAAGUCAUGGUUAAGUGGGAAACGAUGUGGGAAGGCCCAGACAGCCAGGAUGUUGGCUUAGAAGCAGCCAUCAUUUAAAGAAAGCGUAAUAGCUCACUGGUCGAGUCGGCCUGCGCGGAAGAUGUAACGGGGCUAAACCAUGCACCGAAGCUGCGGCAGCGACACUGUGUGUUGUUGGGUAGGGGAGCGUUCUGUAAGCCUGUGAAGGUGUGCUGUGAAGCAUGCUGGAGGUAUCAGAAGUGCGAAUGCUGACAUAAGUAACGAUAAAGCGGGUGAAAAGCCCGCUCGCCGGAAGACCAAGGGUUCCUGUCCAACGUUAAUCGGGGCAGGGUGAGUCGACCCCUAAGGCGAGGCCGAAAGGCGUAGUCGAUGGGAAACAGGUUAAUAUUCCUGUACUUGGUGUUACUGCGAAGGGGGGACGGAGAAGGCUAUGUUGGCCGGGCGACGGUUGUCCCGGUUUAAGCGUGUAGGCUGGUUUUCCAGGCAAAUCCGGAGAAUCAAGGCUGAGGCGUGAUGACGAGGCACUACGGUGCUGAAGCAACAAAUGCCCUGCUUCCAGGAAAAGCCUCUAAGCAUCAGGUAACAUCAAAUCGUACCCCAAACCGACACAGGUGGUCAGGUAGAGAAUACCAAGGCGCUUGAGAGAACUCGGGUGAAGGAACUAGGCAAAAUGGUGCCGUAACUUCGGGAGAAGGCACGCUGAUAUGUAGGUGAAGCGACUUGCUCGUGGAGCUGAAAUCAGUCGAAGAUACCAGCUGGCUGCAACUGUUUAUUAAAAACACAGCACUGUGCAAACACGAAAGUGGACGUAUACGGUGUGACGCCUGCCCGGUGCCGGAAGGUUAAUUGAUGGGGUCAGCGCAAGCGAAGCUCUUGAUCGAAGCCCCGGUAAACGGCGGCCGUAACUAUAACGGUCCUAAGGUAGCGAAAUUCCUUGUCGGGUAAGUUCCGACCUGCACGAAUGGCGUAAUGAUGGCCAGGCUGUCUCCACCCGAGACUCAGUGAAAUUGAACUCGCUGUGAAGAUGCAGUGUACCCGCGGCAAGACGGAAAGACCCCGUGAACCUUUACUAUAGCUUGACACUGAACACUGGUCCUUGAUGUGUAGGAUAGGUGGGAGGCUUUGAAGUGUGGACGCCAGUCUGCAUGGAGCCGUCCUUGAAAUACCACCCUUUAAUGGCUGGUGUUCUAACGUGGGCCCGUAAUCCGGGUUGCGGACAGUGUCUGGUGGGUAGUUUGACUGGGGCGGUCUCCUCCUAAAGAGUAACGGAGGAGCACGAAGGUUGGCUAAUCCUGGUCGGACAUCAGGAGGUUAGUGCAAUGGCAUAAGCCAGCUUGACUGCGAGCGUGACGGCGCGAGCAGGUGCGAAAGCAGGUCAUAGUGAUCCGGUGGUUCUGAAUGGAAGGGCCAUCGCUCAACGGAUAAAAGGUACUCCGGGGAUAACAGGCUGAUACCGCCCAAGAGUUCAUAUCGACGGCGGUGUUUGGCACCUCGAUGUCGGCUCAUCACAUCCUGGGGCUGAAGUAGGUCCCAAGGGUAUGGCUGUUCGCCAUUUAAAGUGGUACGCGAGCUGGGUUUAGAACGUCGUGAGACAGUUCGGUCCCUAUCUGCCGUGGGCGCUGGAGAACUGAGGGGGGCUGCUCCUAGUACGAGAGGACCGGAGUGGACGCAUCACUGGUGUUCGGGUUGUCAUGCCAAUGGCACUGCCCGGUAGCUAAAUGCGGAAGAGAUAAGUGCUGAAAGCAUCUAAGCACGAAACUUGCCCCGAGAUGAGUUCUCCCUGAGACUUUAAGUCUCCUGAAGGAACGUUGAAGACGACGACGUUGAUAGGCCGGGUGUGUAAGCGCAGCGAUGCGUUGAGCUAACCGGUACUAAUGAACCGUGAGGCUUAACCUU
rnacentral:rRNA from 1 species